GCAUUGUCAAUGUGAAUACAUCUCUUAAAGUGUCCUUAAAAAAUUGGUCCAUUCAUUAAAUAUGGAUGUCACUAUGUCACCAGUAUACAAUAUUUCUUUGAUAUCAUUAUUUUAUUGAAGAAAGUCAGAAGAGAUAUGUUUACAAAAGAGAUUUAUAAGUAUGAUGCUUAGGCUUUUUAGUAAACCAGGCAAUAACAACGUAUAUGUUUCUAUACUUUCUAUUUUUUUAUUUUAUUUUUUUUUACCCACUGCAUUCUUCAUUUAUAGCUGAAUCGAAAAGAUACACUCCUGGAGUACCUAUUAGCUUCCCCUCUGUGGCUUUCUAACUUCCAGUUUAUUAAUUCUGGAUUUUUCAUCAUAACCACGCUUCAGUCCCGCAAAGUUUCUUCAAAGAAACCCCCAGCCUGGAACUGGUGCGGCUCUGCAGAGGAAAACGCCGCACUGUACUUCAAAGCGGAGAAAAUCUGCAGCUGCCGGGAGCCCGCCUGCCCCAGGAGGUGUCACUGUUGGGACUGGCAGGGUGAGCUCCGGAGCUGCUGUUUGUUUUCUAAAGCCUGCUUUGACCGUGAGGUAGGAAUUGACCUGUGCUACACCUCCCCUCCCCACCCCAGCCAGUCUGGGAAAGGGGAUCGCAGGUAAAAACGAGCUGGUGGCUUCUGUGGAGGUAUGGGCAUGUAUGUAAGUGAGAUAAGAUACUCAGCAUUCAGUUUUUUAUUUUAAGAAAUACCAGUUAAUCCAGGCUGCUUACAGUAGUUGCUUUCCCUGUUCUCAAAGUGCUGAUGAAUCACACCAAAUCGGGGAGGAUAUACCAGGGUAUAGCUUCUACUUUUUUCCUUUUAAUACUGUUUGAGGUGAAGAACAAAUGAAUUUGUGAUGUGAUAUUUGCUGACUAAAUGUUUUUUACUAAAUAAUGCUCUCUCUUUAAAUUUACUAAAUCAUAUGCUUUAAGAAAAAAGUGCAUACUUUUAGAGCACUCAAGGAUUGAAAGUUUUCUAACCAUAAAUAUAAUGCAAAUGAUCUGCGAUGCAGACACACAUACACACACACACACACAUAUAUAUACACAUACACACACAGUAACUUCAAGAUUAGGAAUUUUGAUGAUGAGUAUUCUUUUUCAUGGCAAAAAAAAAAGAAAAAAAAUCUUUGAAAGUUAAACUUAGUUUUUGGAGUAUACUGCAGCCUGAGGUAAGUUGCUUCCAUGGUUAAUUAUAUUCGCCAUCGGUGUUUUGCAUCUUAUUUCUAGUAUCAGUGUCAUUUUAUUCAGCCUUCAGCUUGGGGAUUUGCUACACUAGAUCUUCCAGUUUGCCCAUUUUCUGUGGGUUUAUGUGUCAAGAAGUUCCACACCUCCACAGCAGUAAGGGAAGGUCUAGCAAGUUGCAUCUUCUGCUUGGCAGUUAUUGCUUAUCCUGAUGGUUUGUGGUGGAUAUCUGGACAUAAGAAUUCUAGGAAUUUAAAAAAAAAAAAAAAAAGUCAAUUUAGUUUUAAAUAUCUUCAAACUCUCUUUGUAUUUUUGAGUAAAGCACAAAGCAGAAACUCUUAUUUUCUCUCAAACGAACUGCUGAUGUUUGCACAGAGCACAC
rnacentral:lncRNA from 1 species